rnacentral:tRNA from 1 species
GCAGCUUUAGCUCAAUUGGAUAGAGCGUCGGUCUACGGAACCGAAGGUUGCAGGUUCGACUCCUGCAAGCUGCA